UAGAUAUAAAUAAAGAUGAAAGCAGCAGCACAGGAUUGGGUGGCGUUUUUGUUUUUGUUUUGUUUCGUUUCGUUUCGUUUCGUUUUUUGGUUCUCUUCUUCAUUCCGCAAG
rnacentral:ribozyme from 1 species